rnacentral:rRNA from 1 species
AACGAACGCUGGCGGCAUGCCUAACACAUGCAAGUCGAACGAGACCUUCGGGUCUAGUGGCGCACGGGUGCGUAACGCGUGGGAACCUGCCCUUAGGUUCGGAAUAACGCCUCGAAAGGGGUGCUAAUACCGGAUAAUGUCUUCGGACCAAAGAUUUAUCGCCUUUGGAUGGGCCCGCGUUGGAUUAGCUAGUUGGUGGGGUAAAGGCCUACCAAGGCGACGAUCCAUAGCUGGUCUUAGAGGAUGAUCAGCCACACUGGGACUGAGACACGGCCCAGACUCCUACGGGAGGCAGCAGUGGGGAAUAUUGGACAAUGGGCGAAAGCCUGAUCCAGCAAUGCCGCGUGAGUGAUGAAGGCCUUAGGGUUGUAAAGCUCUUUUACCCGGGAUGAUAAUGACAGUACCGGGAGAAUAAGCUCCGGCUAACUCCGUGC